GGUAAACAUUUAACGGAAUGUGGCAGCUCAGAACAAUGACCCCUCUUGUGGCAUGAACACUGGUUUCUUUUGCUUUCUACACAAACUCCUUCCGGUGGAGAAGCUGAACAAAAGAACGUGCCAGCCCCGCUGUGGGCUCCCCAGGCCGUGCAGAUUGCCAAGUGAGAAAUACCAGCAGAGAUUCGCUUUGGGAAAGUCUUCCCACUGCGAGCCCUUCAGAGAACAACGUCAUGUUGAUAGAUGGCAGUGACUCACUCCAGACCUUUCCAUGCCUCCUCUGCAAGCACUCAAGAGAGUCAGGAGCAAAACCGUGCAAUAGUUCCAUGGAGGAGGGCAAAGAGCUUCAUCCACACUGAGGAACAGGCGGAUCACGCGGCUGCAGCAUGGGUCUUACCUUUUCACUGCUUGAUUUGACACGUUCCGGCCAGGUACGGUGGCUCACACCUGCAAUCCCAGCACUUUGGGAGGCCAAGGCAGGUGGAUUGCUUGGGCCCAGGAGUUCGAAAUCAGCCUGGGCAACCUGGCAAAACCCCAUCUCUACAAAAAACAAACAAACAAACAAACAAAAAUUAGCCAGGCGUGGUGUGUGUGCCUGUGGUCCCAGCUACUCGGCAGGCUGAGGCUGGAGGGUCACUUGAGCCCAGGAAGUGGAGGCUGCAGUGAGGUGGAUCAUGCCACUGCACUCCAGCCUGGGUGAUGGAGCCAGAUGUUGUCUCCAAAAAAAAAGAAAAAGAAAAGGAGAAAUAAUCCAAGACUAUGGAGAAGCCUUCUUUGGCGUCCGUGUGAAACAUUCUUUCAUCCAUUCAGCAAAUGCUUACUGAGGAGCCACCGUGUCCCUGAAAUUGCCUCCACCUCCAGGAAGACAGCAGUGAACAAGUCAGUCAACGUCCCUAAUCUCAUGGAAUUUAUAAGUAAAUGGGCCGUUACAAUGGCCAGAUCAGAAGUGCUGUGAUGAGCAAAUAGAGGCUCAUGUGAAACUCCUAAGAAGGGUUUCUGAGCUGGACUUGGGUCAGGAAAGCAGAAUGUGGGGGCUGACUCAUCCAGACCAGGGUGGGGGGCCUCCCACUUGCUGUCUGUCUCCUUCUAGACUGACUUCUCUGUCGUCAUGAAUACAUUCCUUUAAGACAUACAUUUAAGAGAAAAUGAUGAGAUGCCUUA